AGGACGUUUGGAGAAUCUUGAGUAUGAUUGAUGUCGCCUUCAGAUAAGAUUAUCUUGUAUAUGUCCUCUCCUUUUGUUUUUCCCCUCAGAACUUAGCGUUUAUCCCACCGGCCUUGACUUUUUCACGAGCUGUACAGUGAAUCUCUACCUUCCCCAAAUAAUUGGGCAUGAUGAAGCAUCAUUUGUGAAAAUUCUUGUGCCAAUUGGUUUAGCUAGUUGAUCCAUACCUAAUUGGUCUGAUUUCCAUGACGACUGACAAGGCUAAACUUGCCGACUGAAGAGAGCACUGAAUCAUUCUAAAGGGGAAGUUGCAUUUUAAGGCAUAAGUUGCGUCGUUUUAGAUAUAUAGCUUUGAUACAGGAGAAAGACGAUGCAA
rnacentral:lncRNA from 1 species